rnacentral:rRNA from 1 species
GGCGUGCUUAACACAUGCAAGUCGAGCGGUAAGGCCCCUUCGGGGGUACACGAGCGGCGAACGGGUGAGUAACACGUGAGCAAUCUGCCCUUCACACGGGGAUAACUCCGGGAAACCGGUGCUAAUACCCGAUACGACCACUUCAGGCAUCUGAUGGUGGUGGAAAGUUCCGGCGGUGGAGGAUGAGCUCGCGGCCUAUCAGCUUGUUGGUGGGGUAAUGGCCUACCAAGGCAACGACGGGUAGCCGGCCUGAGAGGGUGACCGGCCACACUGGGACUGAGACACGGCCCAGACUCCUACGGGAGGCAGCAGUGGGGAAUAUUGGACAAUGGGCGAAAGCCUGAUCCAGCAACGCCGCGUGAGGGAUGACGGCCUUCGGGUUGUAAACCUCUUUCAGCAGGGACGAAGCGCAAGUGACGGUACCUGCAGAAGAAGCACCGGCCAACUACGUGCCAGCAGCCGCGGUAAUACGUAGGGUGCGAGCGUUGUCCGGAAUUAUUGGGCGUAAAGGGCUCGUAGGCGGUUUGUCGCGUCGGGGGUGAAAACUCAGGGCUUAACCCUGAGCCUGCUUCCGAUACGGGCAGACUAGAGGUAUGCAGGGGAGAACGGAAUUCCUGGUGUAGCGGUGAAAUGCGCAGAUAUCAGGAGGAACACCGGUGGCGAAGGCGGUUCUCUGGGCAUUACCUGACGCUGAGGAGCGAAAGUGUGGGGAGCGAACAGGAUUAGAUACCCUGGUAGUCCACACCGUAAACGUUGGGCGCUAGGUGUGGGACUCAUUCCACGAGUUCCGUGCCGCAGCU